GUUUAAACACCAUAACCACUACAGCAUCCCCUAGCACCAACUCAUGGUAAGUAGUCAAACUAUUUUUGAAUGGUUUGACACUUAUCUGAUUCCCCUAGGCAUAUUUUCUGAUAUUGCUAACACAGAGGUUCCUACAUUCGUACUGGUGACAUCAUGUUUGCCUAUGUUUGGGCAGAAUUCAUUGGCUGAGAGUGUGAGACGAUUAAUUUCUCCC